rnacentral:rRNA from 1 species
AACUAACGCUGGCGGCGUGCCUAACACAUGCAAGUCGUACGAGAAAGUUGGCUUCGGCCGAUGAGUACAGUGGCGCACGGGUGAGUAACGCGUGGAUAAUCUGCCCUUAAGUGUGGAAUAACGUACCGAAAGGUGCGCUAAUACCGCAUAAUGCCUGGCAACAUAAGUUGUCCGGCCAAAGAAGGCCUCUGCUUGCAAGCUUUCGCUAAAGGAUGAGUCCGCGUACCAUUAGCUAGUUGGUGGGGUAACGGCCUACCAAGGCGACGAUGGUUAGCUGGUCUGAGAGGAUGAUCAGCCACACUGGAACUGAGACACGGUCCAGACUCCUACGGGAGGCAGCAGUGAGGAAUAUUGCGCAAUGGGGGCAACCCUGACGCAGCAACGCCGCGUGAGUGAGGAAGGUUUCGGACUGUAAAGCUCUGUCGAGCGGGAAGAAGUGUACCAUGGCUAAUAUCCAUGAUAUUUGACGGUACCGCUAGA